rnacentral:rRNA from 1 species
GACGAACGCUGGCGGCGUGCUUAAUACAUGCAAGUCGAACGGACCGGCUCCGGUGUUGUGGGGUGCACGGGUGGCGAACGGGUGAGUAACCUGUGAGUAUCCUGCCGUCGACAUUGGGAUAACUUUAGGAAACUGGCGUUAAUUCCGGAUAGGAACUCGUGCGGAAUGGCGGGGGCUGGAAAGAGGCGGCGGCGGGGAAUGGACUCGCGGCUUAUCAGCUUGUCGGUGGGGUAGUGGCUUACCUAGGCUUUGACGGGUAGCCGGCCUGGGAGGGGGGCGGGCCACGUUGGGACGGAGAUACGGCCCAGACUACAAUGGGAGGCAACGGUGGAGAAUAGUGCUCAGUGCGCGGAAGGCUGAUGCAGCAACGCCGCGUGCGGGAUGACGUCCUUCGGGUUGUAAUCCGCUUUCGCCUUAUGCGAAGAGUAAGUGACGGUAAUGCAUAAAGAAGCACCGGCUAACUACGUG